UUAGAUUGUAACUGGCUCUGAUGACGGAUUCAUUCGUGUUUACAAUUAUGAAACAAUGGAGAAAAUCAUAGAGGUUGAAGCACACAAAGACUUCAUUAGAUGUGUUGUUGUCCAUUUUGGCUUGAAAAUACUUUUAAUUAUGAUCUUGGAAGAGUUUGGGCCGUUGAAUCCAUCAAAGGAAUAAAUCACUAAGCUUAUUUGCUUAUUUUUAAAAAUUUCCAAAUUAUUUAUUCAUCUUCUUACUUUUAUUGUGUGAUCAUAUAUGUACUAACAUUACUUUUUCUUUUAGGGUUGUCUUUGGUUUUGACAAAGGAUUUUGCAUUGUCAAGAUAAUGAAAGGUGAAGAUUCUGUAUUAAGUGGUCAAACCUAAAAGAGUGUCAUGAUAAAAAAAUAAAUGAAAAUAAGCUAAUUUCAAAGUUGACUUGAACUUAGUAUAUAUGUUGUUUUUUGAUAAGUUAUGUAAAACAAAUAAUAUUCUCAAUUUUUUUUUAAUGUGUGUUCAUUGUAAUAAUCUUCCAUGAAAAGCUACAAUUUUUAUUUGUUCAAACUAAUAUGGCUUUUUCAUAUAUUUAAAUUAAAAACAAUUACCAAGUUUUA